CAUAUGCUUUGGCCAAAGACUCUCGAAUCAUAUCUUAGAGUAUUAUCCUUCCACCAUGGAAGGUUAGAGAUCCCUUGUUGUACAUUCAUAUGCCUACAUGACUAGAUAGCUUGACCCCAACAAUGCCGUGGACACUCCAAUGGAAUGCCUUUGACAUGAUCAAAGAUCAAGGACCUAACCAUUAGACAUCUAUGAUGCCUCAGGUGAAAGGACUACUUUGCAUAUUGCAACUAUCGAGUUCUUACAUGACAUGUAUGUUCGAACUCUCUUUUAAUCGUUGUUCAGUGUACUCGAUUACUCUUUCGAGCACCUAUGUGUUUAUCUUAGUGUCCAACACUAAAUGACUUGAGACUAGUCAUACUCACGCUUGAGUUAACAUAACACAUACUAACCUUAGCAGAUUGUCAAUGCCUAAUUGGCAAUCGUAUGGCUAGGAAUGUUUUAGGAAUGAACAUAAGAGAAAGGUCUCGAUAAUCUAACUCACUUAGAUCACUUAUCUCUUAGAUCAAAUACAUUCCUUGGAUUCCCUUAUUGCUUAAUCACAUGAUACAAUAAAUAGUGAUUAACAAUAAGCUUUGCCCUUCAUUAAACAUAUAAACGUUUAAUACAAUAAGUAUUCCAAAAGCUAUUACAUCAAAUGAGUGACUUUGUGGGCAUACUUCCAACAAUCUCCCACUUGCACUCAAAGCCAUCAUCCCAUGUAUCUAAUACCCAUCCUUUCCAUAUGACGGUCAAGCUGGAUUUGAGACAUUGGCUUUGUCAGUGGAUCUGCUACGUUAUCGGCUGAAGCAACUUUGAGAAUGUUGACUUUCCCCUCGGCAGCAUAUCUUCUAAUGAUAUUAAAACGCCUGUCAAAAUGCUUGUUCUUUUGAUGUGCCCUGGGUUCCUUGGCUUGAGCUAUCGCCCCA
rnacentral:lncRNA from 1 species